AUUGAACGCUGGCGGCAUGCUUUACACAUGCAAGUCGAACGGCAGCACGGGGGCAACCCUGGUGGCGAGUGGCGAACGGGUGAGUAAUAUAUCGGAACGUACCCGGAAAUGGGGGAUAACGUAGCGAAAGUUACGCUAAUACCGCAUAUGCCCUAAGGGGAAAGCGGGGGAUUCGCAAGAACCUCGCGUUUUCGGAGCGGCCGAUAUCGGAUUAGCUAGUAGGUGAGGUAAAGGCUCACCUAGGCGACGAUCCGUAGCUGGUCUGAGAGGACGACCAGCCACACUGGAACUGAGACACGGUCCAGACUCCUACGGGAGGCAGCAGUGGGGAAUUUUGGACAAUGGGCGCAAGCCUGAUCCAGCCAUGCCGCGUGAGUGAAGAAGGCCUUCGGGUUGUAA
rnacentral:rRNA from 1 species